ACAGCAGCCGCGGUAAUACGGAGGGUGCGAGCGUUGUUCGGAAUUACUGGGCGUAAAGCGCGUGCAGGCGGCCGACUAAGUCCGGUGUGAAAGCCCGGGGCUCACCCCCGGAAGUGCGCUGGAAACUGGUCGGCUAGAGUACGGGAGAGGGAAGCGGAAUUCCUGGUGUAGCGGUGAAAUGCGUAGAUAUCAGGAGGAACACCGGCGGCGAAGGCGGCUUCCUGGACCGAUACUGACGCUGAGACGCGAAAGCGUGGGGAGCAAACAGGAUUAGAUACCCUGGUAGUCCACGCUGUAAACGAUGGGUACUAGGUGUCGCGGGUGUUGACCCCUGCGGUGCCGCAGCUAACGCAUUAAGUACCCCGCCUGGGGAUUACGGUCGCAAGAUUAAAACUCAAAGAAAUUGACGG
rnacentral:rRNA from 1 species